AUGAACGCUGGCGGCGUGCCUAAUACAUGCAAGUCGAGCGAACAGACGAGGAGCUUGCUCCUCUGACGUUAGCGGCGGACGGGUGAGUAACACGUGGAUAACCUACCUAUAAGACUGGAUAACUUCGGGAAACCGGAGCUAAUACCGGAUAAUAUAUUGAACCGCAUGGUUCAAUAGUGAAAGACGGUUUUGCUGUCACUUAUAGAUGGAUCCGCGCCGCAUUAGCUAGUUGGUAAGGUAACGGCUUACCAAGGCGACGAUGCGUAGCCGACCUGAGAGGGUGAUCGGCCACACUGGAACUGAGACACGGUCCAGACUCCUACGGGAGGCAGCAGUAGGGAAUCUUCCGCAAUGGGCGAAAGCCUGACGGAGCAACGCCGCGUGAGUGAUGAAGGUCUUCGGAUCGUAAAACUCUGUUAUUAGGGAAGAACAAAUGUGUAAGUAACUAUGCACGUCUUGACGGUACCUAAUCAGAAAGCCACGGCUAACUACGUG
rnacentral:rRNA from 1 species